UGGGGAAUAUUGCACAAUGGGCGCAAGCCUGAUGCAGCCAUGCCGCGUGUGUGAAGAAGGCCUUCGGGUUGUAAAGCACUUUCAGCGAGGAGGAAGGGUAGUGUGUUAAUAGCACAUUGCAUUGACGUUACUCGCAGAAGAAGCACCGGCUAACUCCGUGCCAGCAGCCGCGGUAAUACGGAGGGUGCAAGCGUUAAUCGGAAUUACUGGGCGUAAAGCGCACGCAGGCGGUUUGUUAAGUCAGAUGUGAAAUCCCCGCGCUUAACGUGGGAACUGCAUUU
rnacentral:rRNA from 1 species